rnacentral:rRNA from 1 species
CCAGAGAACUUUCCAGAGAUGGAUUGGUGCCUUCGGGAACUCUGAGACAGGUGCUGCAUGGCUGUCGUCAGCUCGUGUUGUGAAAUGUUGGGUUAAGUCCCGCAACGAGCGCAACCCUUUAUCCUUUGUUGCCAGCGGUUAGGCCGGGAACUCAAAGGAGACUGCCAGUGAUAAACUGGAGGAAGGUGGGGAUGACGUCAAGUCAUCAUGGCCCUUACGAGUAGGGCUACACACGUGCUACAAUGGCGCAUACAAGAGAAGCGACCUCGCGAGAGCAAGCGGACCUCAUAAAGUGCGUCGUAGUCCGGAUUGGAGUCUGCAACUCGACUCCAUGAAGUCGGAAUCGCUAGUAAUCGUGGAUCAGAAUGCCACGGUGAAUACGUUCCCGGGCCUUGUACACACCGCCCGUCACACCAUGGGAGUGGGUUGCAAAAGAAGUAGGUAGCUUAACCUUCGGGAGGGCGCUUACCACUUUGUGAUUCAUGACUGGGGUGAAGUCGUAACAAGGUAGGCGUAGUGCU